CAGGAGGAUUGCGGUUUCUGUAGGGGGCUGUGGCUUUGUGCACUUUUUUGUUUCAAGCCGCUUGCAAGCAGAAAGCUAGUUUCUCUGGCAACAAGAGAAAGAAAGUUCCUGCUUUAAUCUGCGUUUGUUGGUCUGAUAAAGAGGAACAACCGAUGCUGGGAUGCAUCAGCCGCAGUCUGAAGUAGUGUCGUCUUUUGUGUCAGCCGGGUCUGAGCUAGAGAUGGUGUAUUUUCAAACAUAACUUCAACUGAUGCAGGAGAGCUCUGAAGAAAAUGAGAAACAAGAGAAGAGAGAUUAUUCACAAGGUUGACCCAAAUUAGGACUGAAUGGCUGACAAAUGGAGUGACAUUCGCUGCUGAGAAAAGAUACAUUGCAGUCACCGCUGAGAUCAUGUCGAAAAGAAAGUACAACCUCUUCCAUACUGCUGACCCUACUGUAAGGGGUCAGGGGAAAAUUGGCACAAGAUCUCCUGACAUCGUAGAAGUGAGUUCCCAGCCCUUUGCUGACAACCAGUAGGAGUGGGGCAAGAGGAGAAGAAGCAGGUGGCGAAACAAAAUUUCCAGG